rnacentral:rRNA from 1 species
CCUACGGGUGGCAGCAGUGAGGAAUAUUGGUCAAUGGACGAGAGUCUGAACCAGCCAAGUAGCGUGAGGGAAGACGGCCCUGUGGGUUGUAAACUUCUUUUAUAUGGGAAUAAAACGUUGCACUAGUGGGAUGUUGUAUGUACCAUAUGAAUAAGGAUCGGCUAACUCAGUGCCAGCAGCCGCGGUAAUACGGAGGAUCCGAGCGUUAUCCGGAUUUAUUGGGUUUAAAGGGAGCGUAGGUGGAGUGUUAAGUCAGUGGUGAAAGUUUGCGGGUCAACCGGAAAAGUGCAGUUGAUACUGGCAGUCUGGAGUACAGUAGAGGUGGGCGGAAUUCGUGGUGUAGCGGUGAAAUGCUUAGAUAUCACGAAGAACUCCGAUUGCGAAGGCAGCUCACUGG